AUGAAGAUUUUUGGCGUCAGGAGUAAGAAAGUCGCCCUUAGGCUCCUCCAUCAACCCGGUGAGAGACAGCAGUCAUGGAAUCAACCUCCAGCCCGGGUACCGCAUCCGAGACAAAGACCUCAGAAAGAUCCACAAAGCUGCCAUCGUGGGCAACGUAGCCAAAGUGCAGCAUGUUCUGUUGUUUGGAAAAAAUGGCCUGAACGACAGGGACAAGACAAACAGGACUGCCCUCCACUUGGCCUGUGCCAAUGGCCAUUCAGCGGUGGUCACUCUGCUCCUGGAGAGAAAAUGCCUGCUUAACCUCUGUGACGAUGAAAACAGGACCGUGCUGAUGAAGGUAGAUGGGGCAGCGAACCGUGUCCACACGAGGUGGAUGUGAUCUAACUACUGAGACUCAAAGUGAAUUCAUCUCAUUUAGAUAUAGCAAACCGGUGAAGCCUGUGGCCUGUUUACUUUGAAUUCCUAGAAUUUACACUCUGUUUCUUGGCACAACACUGACAGGCCGUAGAAUGCCAAGAAGAGAAGUGUGCGACUCUUCUGCUGGAGCAUGGUGCCGACCCAAAUGUCAUGGACGUCUGUGGGAACACCGCUCUCCACUAUGCUGUCUUUUGCCAGAAUCUAUCACUCGCAGCAAAGCUGCUUUCCUGCGACGCCAAUAUAGAAGCCAGGAACAAGGUAUAUCUCAACUAUAUUUACAAAAUAUUUGUGAAGCAUUUUUUUAAACUAGAAGUGUUUUAAUUCUAACUAUGUAAACAGGUAAACUGAAGUGUCCAUCAAGCCCUGUUACCAUGGAAACAACUCCAAAACCAACGCAGGGGGUGGGGGAAAAUGUUGGAGCCUACAGAGAGGGCAAAGCUCUGUCUCCCAGCCAGCCGUCUACCCCAGAGGAAGAUUUCCCAUCAGGACGUGCCCGGGAGUGGGUGGUAGGCUCAGAGCCCACAAAUGAUGAAGGCCUGGGAGGAGUGAAGUGAUGUGAGGAGUGGCUGCUUCCAGGGGCUCAGGGAAUGGGUGCCCCUGGGCGUGGGUGGGAGGAGGAAGGAGACCCAGUG
rnacentral:lncRNA from 1 species